AAUAUUAUGGACUUGUGCGAACCAUUUUUGACUUCUGGCACAACUCGUUGGCUCAAUGUGUUACCUGGUACCAAUACUAAUUCAAAUAAUUAUGGAGAACAAGACGAAAUUUAUGUAUCUACUCACAUUUGAUUUGCGGUGUUCGAUACACUGGUAAAAUUUUUAUCAUUCAUAGUAUCUGUUUUCCUUAUUUGCAAUUAGAAAAUUGAUAUCUUUUGCGGAAAUCUUUGCUUUAAUAAAUGCUUCAAUAAAACUCAAAUCAUAAAUUAUUAUUUCAUGAUUUAAAUUUUAGUUCCCUAGCAUGAACUAAAAAUUAUCAAAUAGAAUUGUAUUAGUUUUGAAGAUAGUUCUAUUAUCAGCGUUUGUGUAUAAGCAAUUUUUAUAUCGCAUUUGCCGUGCGAGAUACUACGCGUAAUAUUUUCGUCUAUCAUCGCGCUAUCACACAAUUUUGUUCAAUUUUUAUUGCAGGUACCGCGUCUAUUGCAAUUCGCGCACAAGGUUGCAUGCCAUCGACGCGCUGCCCGCUUUGCGCAUCUAUUGCAAUUCGCGCACAAGAUCGUGUGCCAUCGACACGCAGGCUUUACGCCACACUUUACACUAUGAAAUUAAUACUUUGCACUUAUAAAACUUGCAGUAUUAAGUACGUGCCGUACUCUUAAUCGGCCCCUUCUAUCACCCCGAGACGAUACCGAGACGAGACGUGUUUUAUCAAUUUCUCGCCGAUAGCGAGACCACAGUCCGAGUCUCGUUUUUGGUCUCGUUAUUGGUCUCGUGAAAUUUUUUUUUAUGAAGAUGAUAUUAGUAAAAUGAGAAAAGGGCCAAUAUAUGAAAUCCAAUAUAUGACCAUCUGUGAAAUAUUUCUUUUAUAUAUUCAAAAGAACAAGUCAGUAACCGAAUAUCAUGACCUUUUUGCCUUUUUGAAAGUUUUAUGAAAAUUUUGUCUUUGUUUAUACAUCCGGGGACAUAUUUUUGUGUUUUUCUGUACUUCUUGAAGCAAAUAUAUGAACAGCAAAAGUAUUGUAUUCCCUGGGCAAGGGUAUAUAAUAAAUCUUGUCAAAUAAAAUUUAUGCUAUAGUCCGGUACGAAAAAGUGUUCAUGUUGACAAUAUUUUGUAGACAACUUAAUAAUAUUGUGAUAAUUAAUAUUUUAACCUAUGUAUGUAUUUUUGGAGUAAUUAAAUGACUAAACUUUUGAACUGCAAAGAUCUUCAAUGUUUUCUUUACACUUAAAACCAUUAAAUGUGAAAAAAAAAUAUAAGAACAAAGGCUUCACGGGUAUCGCGAGACUUUUCUCGUAUUGUCUCGGUCUCGUAUCGCUUUUACGAGACAAUACCGAGAUCGAGACGGUACUGUUGAUAGUCUCGUCCACUCUCGUCUCGUGUGAAGCCCUAAUUGAGAAUUUUCCAAUCUUUCAUAAUCAGCAAUUCGUUGAUUGCUAUCGCUUUUAGUUUAAAAGAUAUUAAUUAUCGAAAAUUGUCGAUAAAAAUCAUCAAGCACCCUCCCUUGGCAAUUUUUUCUUAAGAAUUAAAAUUUUAUCUCUCAGAUUUCCGUUUUAACUGUUCUAUCUUAUAGAGAAUAGUCUGUAGAUUAAGACUCUGCGAUCAGAUCCUAUUUACCUCUUUUAAUUUACGAGAUAUUCGCGAUUGUAGAAAAUGGGCAAAAAUUGAAUAAUGUCACUUUUUAGUACUUUUAGUCACGUUUAUCGACCUUUUAUUGUAGGAAUUAUAAUUAUUUUAAAUUUUUAUCUGAUGGAAAAUUUUCCAAUUUUUCAUAAUCAGCAAUUCGUGUGUUGCUAUCGCUUUUCGUUUAAGAGAUAUUAAUUAUCGAAAAUCAUCGAUAAAAAUUAUCAAGCACCCCCCCCCCCUUGGCAAUUUUUGCUUAAGAAUUAAAAUUUCAUCUCUCCUAUUUCCGUUUUAACUAUUCUAUCUUAGAGAGAAUAGUCCGUAGAUUAAGACGCUGUGAUCAGAUCCUAUUUAUCUCUUUUAGUUUACGAGAUAUUCGCGAUUGAAGAAAAUGGGCAAAAAUUGAAUAAUGUCACUUUUUAGCACUUUUAGUCACGUUUUUCGACCUUUUAUUAUAGGAAAUAUAUUUAUUUUAUUAUCUGACUGAGAAUUUUCUAAUCUUUCAUAAUCUGCAAUUCUUUGAUUGCUAUCGCUUUUAGCUUAAGAGUUAUUAAUUAUCGCAAAUCGUCGAUAAAAAUUAUCAAGCACUCCCCCUUGGCAAAAUUCCGUAAAGCGAUUUAUAUUGAAAUUUGUGUGUGUGUGCCGUAGUACUCGUUGCGCUAAGAAUUGUAGUUUUUUAAUAUAUCACGCGAACGCGGUGUUACAAUUAGUUCGAAAUAAUUUUCCUUGAUGGGGAAUUUAAUUUAGUAUCCCCCUGGAUAGAAAUGUAUUGCGAGAAAAUUCCGUAACGCGAGUUAUUGAACAAAAGUGGCGAUAUUUUUCGUGUUUUAGUAUUCACCGUACCAUGGAGUCCGAUGAGUUCUGCAGUAACACUAACAUAAACGUUAACGCUACCCUUCUACGGUGCCCUAAAUGGGUGUAACUUCUACCGCUACCUUCGUACGGUGCCUUGAAUGGGAGUCACUUCUACCGCUAUCUUCGUACGGUGCCUUAAAUGGGAGUCUUUAUGGAUCCUUUGUUGGAUGAAGCAUUGGCUAAUCCUGAGAUGGCCAAGUUUAUCAAUAAGGACCAACUGGACAGGCUCCGUGGUACUGGUGAAGUGCGUAUUGAAGAUGAUGUUUUGAUUACUGAAGAUGGAUGUGUCAACGGGACUAGAGUUCCAAGAACUGUCCAAAAAAUUGAAGAUUGGAUUGUCCGUGUUGAUGAUGAUUCCAAAUACGAUUGAAUGAAUUUACAACAUUUUGAAGCUGUUAUUGAUAUCAUUUUUGUUUAUUUUGUUAAGUUAUAAAAAGAGCAUUAUAUAAUUGCAUACUAUUAUCCUGUUUUCUUGCUUGUAUAGUUAAAAAUGCUGUAUAUAUUGAGAAAUUGAGUUUGUGAUGGGUGUAUAUUUUACAUGUUUGAAUAAAAUUGUAGUUUUAUAUUUUAAACUAUAAA